GUUGAAGCUGGUUCCAAUGUUGCUGUAUGGGGUUUAGGUGCUGUUGGACUCGCUGUACUGAUGGGAUGUAAAACUGCUGGUGCUACUAGAAUAAUAGGUGUUGAUAUCAAUCCAGAUAAGUUUCCAAUUGCAAAAGAAUUUGGUGCGACUGAAUGUAUCAAUCCAAAAGACUAUGAUAAACCAAUCCAACAAGUUUUGGUUGAUAUGACCGAUGGUGGACUUGACUAUACCUUUGAAUGUAUUGGUAAUGUCCACACCAUGCGUGCUGCAUUAGAAUCCUGUCAUAAAGGUUGGGGUGUGUCCACAAUUAUUGGUGUUGCUGCAUCAGGUCAAGAAAUCUCCACCAGGCCAUUCCAGCUGGUAACUGGAAGAGUUUGGAAAGGGACAGCAUUUGGAGGUAAAUAUACAUAUAUUAAAAAUGUUAUUUCAACUUUCUCGGACUUGCUACUUUAUAAUUUGUGAUUUAAAAAUACUUAAGUGGACGAGUUUAUCACUCAUAAUAUGAAGAUGGACAAAAUCAAUGAGGCAUUUGAUCUGAUGCAUGCUGGGAAAAGCAUCCGUUCCAUCGUACAUUUCGCCUAGACUGUUGUACAUCUCGAAAGAUCAUAAUGGUGGAGGGAUUGAAUUAUAACAUAUUUGGUGGUGUUCAAAUUACUUCUCUGAAACCAGUGUAUUGAUGUACCGGUUAUUCUACUUGACCUAGGGAGUCAAGUUUAUACAGUAUAUAUCAACUAUCGAAUAAUUGCGGUGUACAUUAGUGUGUUUUUUAUUUCCUUACUCUAACACAGCUGGACUCCAGGCUAGUGGCUCAUGCAAUAAAGGAAUGUGCACAUGUGUCUA